rnacentral:rRNA from 1 species
UACGUAGGGUGCGAGCGUUGUCCGGAAUUACUGGGCGUAAAGAGCUCGUAGGUGGUUUGUCGCGUUGUUCGUGAAAACUCACAGCUCAACUGUGGGCGUGCGGGCGAUACGGGCAGACUGGAGUACUGCAGGGGAGACUGGAAUUCCUGGUGUAGCGGUGAAAUGGCGCAGAUAUCAGGAGGAACACCGGUGGCGAAGGCGGAUCUCUGGGCCGUUCUUGACGCUGAGGCGCGAAAGCUAGGGUAGCAAACGGG